GGGCUUGUAAAGGUUUCGACAGGGGUCGUAAAGCUGGAGAAGCGAGCCGCACGGGAUGCGUGAAAUUCCAACAUUAAAAUUAAACGCUGAAGACAAUUUAGCGGUUGCAGCCUAAGCUGUAACUAGCUGCCUGUAUGGCAGCAGUCUGACCUAGAGCACCUGCACUUUAGCAAUCAGGCUUCGACGAUGCAGGAAACGAUACGGGCAAAGCUUUGAGCCCGCAGGCGUAUGAUGAAGCUACUGAACCCGGAAUUGUGCUUAUGCAAGUCCGGCAGAGGGAAUGCGCCGCCGUAAGGCGGCAGAAACCAUAAGCUACGCUCGUAGAAGUACAGUGGCUCGGCUUUUGGACAGGGGUUCGAUUCCCCUCAGGUCCACU
rnacentral:tmRNA from 1 species